rnacentral:misc_RNA from 1 species
GAAGAGACUUUUUUGUAUAUGAUAGUCACGUUGAAAGUCUUACCUAAACUCUUCAGACUAAAUAUGAUAAAGCCUAUAAAACAAAUUCUAACUACAUACCAUACCUCCAAAAUGCAGAACAUAAUCCAGAGCUUGGGCAAAGUGGGGACUCUGCGUGCCCUGAUUGACGAGUUCUAAAUAGAUCUGGUUUAGCCAGUGAAUGUUGUCGACGCUAAAAAAAACACGUUCGGCUACCUCUUGGGGAUUGACUCCUGUUGGUAAGUUCACAUCUCCAGUAGUAUCUUUAUAGACUCUAAAAAGAAUUUCUAUUUUGGAAACGAUUUGUUCUUUAAGUGUAGCUAUUGUUAAAUCAUUUACUUUCUCCUCGAAAUUAAUGGCAUUUACGUCUCUGGCUUGCCCGGCCCUAAAAGCGACAAGAAGUGCAAUAGAGAAACUUAAUGCUAGGGAGAAUACGUACUGGGAUACCAGUAAAUCCAUAUGGUUAUUCUUUUUUUGAGUCUAGGAGGAAUGCCGCUUUCUUUAAAAUAACUCAGUUUCCGAACAGAUUUGUCGGAUAUAGAUAGAUACCUUAACCAAAC